rnacentral:rRNA from 1 species
UAUGGCUCAGAUGAACGCUGGCGGCGUGCUUAACACAUGCAAGUCGCGCGUGAAAGGGCUUCGGCCCGAGUAAAGCGGCGCACGGGUGAGUAACGCGUGGAUGAUCUACCCAUGAGUUGGGAAUAACGGCUGGAAACGGUCGCUAAUACCGAAUACGCUCCGAUUUCAACUUCGGGGGAAAGGUGGCCUCUGCUUGCAAGCUACUGCUCAUGGAUGAGUCCGCGUCCCAUUAGCUAGUUGGUGGGGUAACGGCCCACCAAGGCGACGAUGGGUAGCCGGUCUGAGAGGAUGACCGGCCACACUGGGACUGGAACACGGCCCAGACUCCUACGGGAGGCAGCAGUGGGGAAUAUUGCGCAAUGGGCGAAAGCCUGACGCAGCGACGCCGCGUGAAGGGAUGAAGGUCCUCGGAUCGUAAACCUCUGUCAGGAGGGAAGAACCGCCACGGUGCUAAUCAGCCGUGGUCUGACGGUACCUCCAAAGGAAGCACCGGCUAACUCCGUGCCAGCCGCAGC